rnacentral:rRNA from 1 species
AGCAGCCGCGGUAAUUCCAGCUCCAAUAGCGUAUAUUAAAGUUGUUGCAGUUAAAAAGCUCGUAGUUGAAUUUCGGGGUUAGCAGGUCGGUCGUGCCAUCGGUAUGAACUGGUCUCGCUGAUCCCUCCCUCUUGACGAACUGUGAUGCCAUUAAUUUGGUGUCGCAGGGAAUCAGGACUGUUACUUUGAAAAAUUAGAGUGUUUAAAGCAGGCUCACGCUUGAAUACAUUAGCAUGGAAUAAUGAAAUAGGACGUUUGAUCCUAUUUUGUUGGCUUCUAGGAUUGACGUAAUGAUUAAUAGGGAUAGUUGGGGGCAUUAGUAUUCAAUUGUCAGAGGUGAAAUUCUUGGAUUUAUUGAAGACUAACUACUGCGAAAGCAUUUGCCAAGGAUGUUUUCAUUAAUCAAGAACGAAAGUUAGGGGAUCGAAGACGAUCAGAUACCGUCGUAGUCUUAACCAUAAACUAUGCCGACUAGGGAUCGGAUGAUGUAAUUUUUAAUGA